UCCGAGUUGACCCCGGCAGUCUCCUGCGAGUCCCCGGCAUUACCCGCUGGCAACAUAGAACGAGGGUUGCGCUCGUUGCGGGACUUAACCCAACAUCUCACGACGCGAGCUGACGACAACCAUGCACCACCUGUCCACCGACCCCGAAGGGAAACCCCAUCUCUGGAGCGGUCCGGUGAAUGUCAAGCCUUGGUAAGGUUCUUCGCGUUGCAUCGAAUUAAUCCGCAUGCUCCGCCGCUUGUGCGGGCCCCCGUCAAUUCCUUUGAGUUUUAGCCUUGCGGCCGUACUCCCCAGGCGGGGUGCUUAAUGCGUUAGCUUCGGCACGGAAGGGGUUGAUGCCCCCCACACCUAGCACCCAACGUUUACGGCUGGGACUAC
rnacentral:misc_RNA from 1 species